rnacentral:rRNA from 1 species
UACGAAGGGGGCUAGCGUUGCUCGGAAUCACUGGGCGUAAAGGGUGCGUAGGCGGGUCUUUAAGUCAGGGUGAAAUCCUGGAGCUCAACUCCAGAACUGCCUUUGAUACUGAAGAUCUUGAGUUCGGGAGAGGUGAGUGGAACUGCGAGUGUAGAGGUGAAAUUCGUAGAUAUUCGCAAGAACACCAGUGGCGAAGGCGGCUCACUGGCCCGAGUACUGACGCUGAGGCACGGAAGCGUGGGGAGCAAACAGGGAUUAAGAA